UUGAGUUUGGGGUGUGCUCCAGAGCGUUUGUUUUCAUCACGAGUGGAUUUAUGUGAGGAACAGGGAUGGAGACGUGACCUCCUUCCAAGAUUUCCUCACGCGACCCAAACAGCCGGUCAAGCCAGGGUGCAAUCAGCCACUCUCAAACUGAAGCGUGUGACCCAUCAUGCAGCCCGAGAGUCGCUGGUAAAUGCUAAACCACAUCAAGAGACAAACAAUUCAUUCUUUUGGAUUUGGAGUUUCACUGGUAUUUUACCUGGGAACGCUGUGUUUUAAGCUUGCACGUGGGAUGGGAAUUCUGGAAAACAGAGAGAGGCCUCCGAGGACCCAGGACAAAGAGAGCAGGAGAGGAGGCACGAAGGAGCACCAGCAGCAGAGGCAUGAGAAGAGAGAGGAGAUGCAGAGAAGCUGAGAAGAGACGGAAGCGUAGCCCGCCUUAUCGGAGAUAACACACACACACACACACACACACACACACACACACACACACACACACACACACACACAGGGGCCAUUGUUGUACGGUUUUGCUGCUGGGCCUUGUGAUCACACAGGCUCAGAAUGAUGAACGUGUGGCCCCUCUUUCUUCCUCGCUCCUCCUUUCAUCUCCUCUUGACCCGUCUCUGGAUGCUCAAAGGCCUCCUCUCUUCCUCCUCCCAGUCCUCGUCAGCUCUGGUGGUUUUUCACGUACGCAACGACAAAUUAAAUGUUUGUCUUUCAAAGAAAACUUUUAUGAGUUUGAUGCAUUUGCUUUGUUGUUUGCAUUUGGACUUCUCGGGUUUCUUCUCACACGAAACCCUCACCUGGCGACCUGACAGAGAUUUCCUACAACAGAACAGAAAGAUCUGCUAAAACCCAACUCUAAAAUAAUGACUGACACCAAACAUCGAGUCCAUCGUGUCUGUCCUUCUUCCGUCCUCAAAAACCUCAAAUCAGGCUCUGCAGUAAGUUUCCUCUGGUUGAACGUAGACUUAGACAGAUAUGGGGUUUUCUAUUGUCGAUGCCGAUGCCGAUAUGUAGAGGUUAUGGUCAGCCAGCAUGUUAAUCAAUUAGUUAAUCAAACAAAUUCAUGAAUUAAAUAUACAAAACAGGUAAAUAAAAACAAAUGCCACUUGACUAAAAUGUUUAAAGCAGAUCUCUUUCAGUGAUGUAAAUAUACAGUCCAAUAAAACUUGGCAGCAGCACUGGGCUGCCCAUGGAUGUGCCCGACUUUAAAUCAUUCAUUUAUUUGCUGAAUCUUGUAAUAUAAGACUGAACUGGAUGCAUAAAUCUGACUUCACAUCUAGAUUUUUUAAUACACUGCUAAAACAGAUUUUCAAGACGGUAACAAAAGGCUUGGUUUUAGAUCUUAUUUUCAGUCUGAAAAGAAAAAUGGCUUCAUCUGCAAAAGCACUGACUACUUGAAAUAAAGUUUAUAUUCUCAAAUAUGAUCCAAAGUUUUUAGUUAUGAGUAGAAAAGCAACCCGCUAAUGGGGAAAGCAAACGUGGCUUGGCUUCAGGCGACGGGAUCUGGAGUCUUGUUUCCUGAUAUUUGGCCAUCUCUCCUCUGAUUGGCUAACAGCAAUGCGACCAUCACUGACUCAAUAGGGAGGCCAAGUUACGUACAUCUACUUCCGGACCAUGGGCCCUGGAAGAACGAAAGAAAAUAUAAUAAUAAUAAAUAAAACAUGGAUGCAAAUCAAUGCAAGUCAAUGAGGCUGAAACAAGGGGCCAUUAUGGUCUACAUUUUUUGAAGCCAAGGAGGAGGGGCUAAAUUGCAGUUCCAGCCUCAUCCACCAGGGGGUGGCACCAGAAGUGAGCAAAUCCUCAUUGACUUGUUAAAAUACCAAUUUCACAGCAAACAUGUUUACAGCCUAGUUCCAAAACCAUUUUAGGUUGAAUAGAUCUAGUUUAUAUUCAUGACAACCCUGAGGGGGCAAAUUUUUGGUAACUUUUUUUUAAGUGGAAUGAAAUGCUUAAAAUUCUGAGUAAUUAAUUAGCACCAGAGUCACGUGACUUAAGAGCUAGCUCCGGAGAAAGGCCUCAGCCUGGACCUGGGCCUCACGUUAAUAGAUGUUCGACCAUUUCGACUCUCUGAACUUUAGCUUUGUCUGUGUCUGUGUUUGGAUGUUAAUCAUGGAAUUACUUGGACAAAAAGGGCAAGCUGUGGUUGUUGACUGCGCUAAAAGAUCAUCCAAGCAGUUUCUGCUUCUUUUUAUCGUAAGUAAAAUGAUAUUUCUGUACUUUAUUUCGCUGGUUCAAUGGGGGUGGGGGGGUAUGCUGUCAUUUAACUGCUUGUUCAAACAUGUUAGUGGGACUGCUGGCUGGAUAAGGAACUUGAGCUGAUGCCUGUCUUCUGUCUCCUGCCCGAGACAAGUUGCUAGAGCAGGCGGUUGGCUGUUCCUGUUUCCUGCGGCAGCCAACAUGCGGACUGGCUCCCAUGUAAUGCUGUAGUAACGCUUGAAGCAUCAUUUGCAAUCCUAGGAUGACCUAGGAUGAUCAUGUCUUUCUUAGCACAGAAUGGCUCUACUAUGAUUGGCUAUUUCAUUUAGCAGCAAGCCGUCUUCCCAUGCUAAGUGAAGACUGUUCUCCUGCCAUCGCCACAAACAGAAAGCUAUUUUGGGGAGUUUUGUAAAGAAAAUAUGAACUUAGCACUAUAAUAUCCAGAGGCAAGAAAGAUAGGACCUUCCUUGGACAUACUAUGAUUGCAAAUGACGUGACCGGGAGCCCUGGCCUUUCAGAUCAGCUCUUUCUUCACAGUUGGAGAUCAGUGGGACAUUAGCUACAUGCUAACCUAAAGCUAACAGAGUUUUUCCGGGCAACUUGAGCAAGACAAAUGCGGUAGAGCGACGAUGCUGGAGACGUUUUACCGUGUUAGAAUGUAGCCAAUGUCCCACUGAUAUCCGCCCGUGGAGAAGGAGCUGAUCUGGAAGGCCAGGGCUCCCGGUCGCAGCUGUCUGCUUGUAAUUUAACAGUCCCAGUCCAUAUUAAAUCGCCACAGGCGACCAGAAUGACUACAGCCUCGCAUUGAAGUUGGUUGGCCAUGCGGGUGGGCUACCCUGCUGUCUCUGGUGCCUGUCUUAGCUUCUUGGGUAAGCUCAGUUAGCUAGUAGCUAGAUUGGUUUCAUUUGUUCCAACCCUGUUCCAAACGUAACAGCCCCACCCUCAGCUCCACCUCUUUUCCCAUUUUUGGACUGUCUGGGCUCCCAUUUUUGGCUUCAACUUGGGUGGGCUAUAUCCUUAUUUUUAUAUGUUGAUGGGCUAAUAAUGCUGUUUUCUAAUCCCAUUUGUUAUGGGAUUUCCCAUAUGAUGUUAGUGAAUUUUAAAGAUGCAUUUUGACACCAAGAACGUGCUUAUUUUGAAACGGGGGGCAAAUGCUAUUUUGGGUUAUGUAAGAAAAUACGUCUAAGACUACAAAUGCGCUUCACGAAAAUGACGUCAUUGAACUAGGCACGGAAAAAGGCAGACGGAAAAUGGCUGUAAGUUCAGCAAACUUCAAAUCUUUCCUUUAGGACGAAAGAACCACCAUGAAUAUGGCCGUGUGGUAAGUAGCAGCUACGCUAGGGGAGAAGAGAUUAUGUGGUGAAGUCAUAUGCUGACGUGCUGAUGUCUGAUUUGUAGUCAUGCUAAUUAAGAACUUUUACAAGCUGAUAAAUCUCAAAGUACAUGACUGACAUGGCCAAAACACACUUCAUUAUUUUUAAUUUAAAUAGAAGUUUAACAUAUGUGUGAUUCAGGGCAUAAGACAAAGUGGAUUACAAAAUGGUUAUUUUAGCCCCGUUGACUUGUAUUCAUUUUUUUCGUUCUUCGGGGGACCAUGAACUGACCAAAAGGGAAAAGACGUAGGCUCCCUAUUUGCUUUGCAACGCUGAUGUUUUAUCUCCACAAAUGAUACAAAGCUGGAGGAACUUCUGCUGUGUGGUUGAGUUGCCAAUGCUAGAGUUAGCUUCUACUAGCCAAGAUGUGCUCUGCUUUCAUUUGGACGCUAAAUAAACACAUCCUUCCCCGUUGCGAGCCAAGAUGGGUGAGUCCGUGAAUGCUAGUUUGACACUGACCUGCCACUGUCAGGCUUUUCUUAUUUGAAUGUUUCCCCAUCCAUUUUCUAUCAGCGGCUAAUGCAGGAAAUAAGGGCAGAAGACUAUUUUCACAUUUAGGGUAGAAGACUAUUUUCACGUUUAGCCUGAAUGUUUAACUUAGAGUAGCUGAUCAUAUUUCAAAAAUAACAAAUAAAAACAGUAUUUUAGAGAACUUGAGCUUUAAAACUAGCAAAACAAUCAAACGUUGUGUUUAUUUGCUAGUUUUAAGAAUUCUAGCCAAGCUACUAACACUUACCCCAGGCAAGAUUUUUCUACUCAAGGCAUUUCUAACUUUGUAGUGGGAAAAAAACAGUUUUUUCAGUGUGUAAGUUGAACUUAGCCUAGACUGCAAACACUUUAGUUGUGGCACUACAUUAACAAAUGGAACUGGUUUAGCAUCGUCUGAAGUUGGCAAAGUUUUCCUAAACUGAAAGCCUAGAAAUCCCAACUCUCAAUUUAAACAAAUGAGAUAAAUAUCCACGUUGUGGCCAGAAAAGUAGCUAAACAACAAAAGCUGUAUUUGCUAGCUUUCGCUGUUGAUUAGAAAACUUGAGGCCAGGUUUCACUGGAUAAACAGGUCUGAGCUAGCGUACAGUCCCUGUGCUCACAGGUUCAGUUAAAUCCAGAGAGGAGCUGACAGACACUUAAAGUCUUGAAGUAUCAAGUUACAUUUACCGGAGGCAGAUAGUUCAAGUAAUGAGAGCUUGUUGUUAGUGGAUGCAGAGAGAAAAGAGGCUUUGGGUUUGGAUCUUAUUUUGAGUUAGACUGUAUUAUGUAGAUUGUGUAUCACCUAGACAAAUUGAAAACAGAUUUUUUUGUCAUGAGUUGGAUUUUUACAGUUCCGAGGAGGUUAUCAUCUCUGCUUUUAACAAAGACAGUCUAACACAGUGAGCAGUAUAAAAAAAACCCAUAAAGGAUUAACUAGCAGAAGAGCCAAAGACGGGAAUAUAAAACUAUUAUUUUGUCGUCUUAUUAUGGAUUCCUGGAAAUCUAGGAGAAAAAAGUCAGCAGACUUAAACAAUGACAGACUGUGCAAAUUCCACAAAAUGCAACAGCUGAAAGUAGGCAGAAUGUGGCAUUCGGUGGUUGAAUGUUUUGACAUUGGCUUAUUCCCGUAACCAUGAAAACAGCAGCACCUCCCUUCUUUACAUUUCCAACGUCCUUACUGAUGGACAGGAAGAGACGUAUGUGUGAAGGAACAGUAGCGCCAACAUGUUUGACAAGCGUCUGUCCGUACAACUUCCCAGCAGCUCCCAACCUGGGCUGUGGCGCUUUAACCUUUCUUCUCUUCUCUGAGACACAGAAGGUGUUUGAGGCUUUAGACACUUGUGUGCGACGUUGCUCGACAAUAGGAAAACCCAGGCUUUAAAACUUACUUGGUGUGGAUUAGAUAUAUGUGAACAGGUUGUUGGGGCGAGUCUUCUGAGGUUUUCAAGGGGAAGAGUUUAGGUGUCCUGGUGUUAGUGAGUGAUGCUAGACUGAAGCCAGACAUGAAUGGUUUGGGUCUUUGCUCCAGUUUGUACUGGUUAAGGGUUUUACUGGUUUGUCUACAGUCACCAAUGAUCUACCGGUGGCGCCAGUGCUCAGCAGCCUCACCUUUGUCAGUGCACCCCAGGGCAGCUGUGGCUAGAUUGUAGCUCAUCCCCACCAGGGUGUGAAUGUGUGUGUGUGUGAAUGGGUGAAUGGCUGAUUCAGUUGUAAAGAGCCUUGGGGGGUUCCAGGAAUCUAGAAGGUGUUAUAGCAAAUAUAGGCCAUUUACCAUCUAAAACAACCAGAUCACAAAUCGGACCAGCAAGGAGGUUCCUCAGUAGAGUGGACUGGAACAGUCUCAGAAAUCUUCCAAAUUAAAGAGUUCCUCACAUUAUUUCUUAGUGCAUCUGCUGCUUUUCUGUACUGGAAGAAAUAAACUAAGGUGUUGUGGACACUUGAUAAGGAUGACUUCUGCUUACACUUCUUUUCUGGUUUUCUAGAUAUGCCUUUCUGGUAGAAAACACGGGGUAGACCUGGAACUGACUGGAAAGGAUUUUAUAUCCUCUAUGACCUGGAAAUGCUCUGGAAUCCCUCAUGAGGAACUGGACCUUGGAUACGCAGUGGUAAAUGGACAGAUGGAAGUCAUCUGGCUGUAGAUCCACAUUUAGGACUUGCCUUUGAACACCAGCAAACACAACCUCUCCUCUACAGGAAUUCCACUGACGUGACAGGAUGAUGUCUCAGGCCUUAGCACCCUGUGGAAAUGUUACAACCAUCUUCUUCCAUUGUUGAAAAGCAAAUCCUCUUUUAUGGAUGUGAACGAAAGUGUGGACACUCAGGCUCUACAACAUAAAUGAUUCAAACAUCUGCUUGCUUGCCACCUUCCAAUCACAAACUUUUGUCAUUUUUAACAAAGUCGCUUUAACUUCUACAUAGAAAUUAGACUGUGGGGCUUCACUCUUUUUAAAUUCUUAAGUAAAGUAAAAUGGUAAUGCUCACUUAGCUAGUCUGACUCAACCUCAAUAACUGUGUAGUCCUUAACAGAAGACUAACUGAACUUAGUCCUUGGGAUUUAAAGUUACCCCUCUCAGUUGGCCGUCGGACCGGGAGGGGUAGGAACGGCAGAGGUGUGCAUGCAUUGUGCUGUUAUAUUGCAGGAUGGUUUAACGAACCGCUGGUCAGCCAACCUUAAUCCACGAGACAGGACAUAUGGCACGAGAAGUUCAGAUUCAAAGAUAGGAGCAAGGCCAUUUAAACAUUUGUAGGCCCAAACCAAAAUCUUAAAUUGCACAUGGAAUUUAACUGGGAUCCAAUGCAGAGAGGCAAGAACUUGAGUGAUGUGAUCAAUACGACAUGUGCCAGUCAAAAGAUGGGCUGCAUCAUUUUGAACUAGCUGCAGCCUAGCAGUACAUCCAUGAUUAACACCCAAGUAAAGUCUAGGGGCUGCAUAACUUAAUUUUUUUAAAGUUGGCAGUCAAGUAAUGAAAAUCGAGUCGACUUUGACUAGUCAUUGAUGACGUCAUACACCUGAAGCGGCGCGCGGGGUGGGGUGGGGGGUCGGUUGAUUCGCUGGAGUUUUUGACAAUUAAAAUUGUGCCCACAUUUUCAAAGUUAAACAUUUCUUUUAACAACGGUAGUUUCUGCAUCUUGCUUCAGCCCUCUCCCCCCUCCCCCUGCGCAGCGGCCGCAAACUCGCUGAUGCGCCUGCAGCCUCUCAGAGUUCCUGCUGCUCUAAACAUUAAAAUAAUUAUUUAAUUUUCUGUUCCUCACUUCUGAUUACCUUCAAUGGUGUCUGUUUGUUGCAACCAGCAGGUACAAAACAAACUUGUUUUUGUUUGACAAUUUUUCUGUCCUGUCUCUCAAUCCUAAAGAAAAACUGUUACCUGGCUUCAUACAUCUUCACCUUAUGAGUUACCUUUGAACUGCAGUUCUAAAAGAUGUACUAACUGCAAAAACAGCGGAGUGCGCGCUGCUCGCCGGCCGCAUCAGUUAGGUGCGUCACCGGAGGACAAAACAGGUGAUGCGCUCCGCUCCACAGCAGUGAAAUGCAUCAGGUACAAAUAAAAGACAGAAAACAUAAAAGGAAAUAAGCCGACAUGAACGAUCGCGUGUUAAAUUUGUUCUGGAGGUGGCAACACCUAAUUUGAUAAUGUUACUGUGACCAUACUCAGGACGCAAAUGUCUGGAGCGUGUCAAAGAUCAGAACUUUGCAUGCGCAAGCUGGUUAAGAUUAGGAUGGGGGUGAGGGGAAGGUUAAAUUGCAAGAGGGUAAAGGUCACAAUUUGGUUAAAUGUCCGUUUUACAGCGAGUGUCAGCUACCGACGCUCUGGCACAGUGCGUCGCCUCCCGACGCGCAGGGGCUCAUCACCUGCUGUCUUUUCCGGGGACUGCAUCUUGUCGGUCAUUAUCGUGACAGCGACUAGUCGAUGACAGGCAUAAAAAGUCACUACAGAGCAGUGAAGUCGACUAGUUCAUACAACUCCUAGUAAAGACUAUUGCAGUAGUCUAAACGAGAUGUUAUAAAUUCAUGGAUAAGCUUCUCAAAAUCAUUCCUAAUCAAACCUUAUAAAGAUUCCUUAGGUGAAAAAAAGCAUACUCCAACAAAAUUAUCGACGUGAACAUUAAAAUUAAGCUGUGAAUCUAUCUUUCUAACACCAAAUUAGACAACUUUGCAUCAUGAGAAGCCACUCAUCAACGACUGAGUAACUACAGGAGCACCACUUGGUGCCAACGCAGUUUUAGGAUUGUCAAUCUGCAGAAAAUUACAACCCAUCCAAUCAUUAACGACACAUUGGAGCUACUUCCUUAGCUUUAGUAGGAGCGUAGACAUGACAGUCAUUAGCAGAGAAAUGAAAGUCAAGCUCAUAUUUCCUAAAUAUGGCCACACGUGGGAGCAAAUAUAAAUUAAAAAAGAGAGUACCAAGUACAGCGCCCUGUGGGACCCCAUAUUUCAGCGGAGCAUCACUCGAACAGAAGCGACCACUCUUAACAGUCACGUACCUGUCAGACAGGUAGGAAUUCAUCCAGGAGGGAGCUGAACCAGAGAGACCAACAAACUUCUCCAGUCGAUCGAGAAGUAUAACUUGAUCAAGAGUAUCAAAAGCAGUAAUCAGAUCUAAGAGUAAUAAUAAAGACUGUCACCCGCAUCAGUAUAAUUAACACUCUCACAAGCGCAGUUUCAGUACUAUGCUUUGCUCUAAAACUUAUUGAAAAAUUUCUAAAAUUUGGUUAUUACCUAGAUGGGCAGACAAUUGCUUAAAAACUACUUUCUCAAGAACCUUAGAAAGAAAUGGCAGCGUAGAAAUGGGUCGAUAAUUGGAUAAUACCAAGACAUCAAGACCGGAUUUCUUAAGAAGGGGUUUGAUUACAGCUCGAUUCAGACUCUUCAGAACUUCCCCAGACUGCAAACCAGAGUUGAUUACACUAAGAAUCAUAUUGAAAUAGCUGGCCGAAAGUCCACCCCUUCCAAGAAACUGCUGUACACUGAGCAUUUUCACUUUGUACACUCUAACACACACACACACACACACACACACACACACACACACACACACACACACACACACACACACACACACACACACACACACGUGCAUGCACCCGCGCACACAGCUGAGAAGGUAAAGAAUGUUGCUGCUUGUGUUCUUUUUGAGCCAUGUUGGCAAUUCUCAUGACAAAGUGCUAAAGUUGGCGCCUCUCAAACACCUGCUGUCCAAAGUCAAUUUGAAAUUCAACUGUGAGCCAGUGAAGCACCAAAAGAUCACUCGAGGGCCUUUUUUUGUUGUACUACAAAGGGCCGGUUUGUGCCAGCACAGAGUGUAUGUGCAUUUAUUUAGUCAGUAAUCACGUCUGUGCAGGUUUGUGCUGAUGACAGUAAGCGAGAAUCCAACAAAUGUGGUUAUUCCUAAAGAAUAAAACAAUGUUAGCUUUCUUCCAAGGGGUUCCACUUGAAAUCAUUGGGUAACAAAGAUGCACCUGAUGACCUUUCACUCAACGUUACCUGUAUACUGGGAUUAUGUUUUUCUCACAUCACCAGGAGCGGUGAUCUCUGGAUCACUUAGAGUUUGAAACCUAAACUACCGGAGUGCUAAUGAGGACAGGGAACAUGAAACAAUAUGCAGUCAUAUCCUUUUAAAGUGAUAAAUCAGAAUUGCUUACUUUGACUCCUUGUGUGUCAUUACCAGAUGUGGGCAAAACUAAUAAACAUGUCAAAAAGAAAGCAGCGCCCUGGACCUGGAUCUAGACUGUUUUCCAGUUCAUCGGGUUGCAAGAUACAUCCAUAAAACCCAGAUUGGCCACUUUACUGUCAAACCAGCCUACCUAUCUGAACAGCAUUAGCUAUUUCUGCUCUGUGGCAUACGCUUUUCAAAGUGUACUGCCCUCACCCACUAAACAUUCCACACCAACUAGCAAGAACAUUGAACCUUGCACCACACUGGGUUCUCUCGUGCUGGGAAGUCUAUACAGACCUCUGAAGACAAGCCCUGUCAACCUGCUGUAAAACUUCCCUCAACAAAUCAAAAGCAUGGGAAAGAAAGUGGUAGAAUCUUGAUUCCUUAGGAAUGUUGCUGGUGAAGGAGGUCUCUGUCAGAGUAACAUUCCCACUUUGCUUGUACCGCAGUCCAAACAGCAGCUGGUUGUGCUGAUAUAACCAUGAUUAAGGAGAAUCAUUUGAGAUGCUAAAUGACAUCAAAUCAAUGUCAGUAAAAAAUAAAAAGUACAUAUCAUUUUCUAACUUUGAUUGACAGGGUUCUUACUAGACCAUAUGACCCAUUGUAUGGCGUGUCUCUAAUGACUCACUCUAGUGGGAUGUGUAAUUUGUUUACUUUGGCAUUAAUACCCUCACUUCUUAUGGUGAUUACCCUAAAUGUGUGUGUUCAUGUGUUUUUACUCCUUGUUUUCCUAAAAGCCUCAAUCAGUGGAUUUCCAGUCUUUCACGUAGAACUUUGGUGCUGGAGUUAUUACAGAUAAUAAAGAUGACGCAAGCAUUUGACAGUGAGCAGAGAGCUUAAAGCAGGAAGUCUGAAGCAGGAUAUCAGUUUCUGUAGAGAAGUGGAUUUCCACAAAUGUCACUGAGACAUCACUUCUUAAAAUUAGAAAAAGAGACAGGAGACGUCAUCACUAAAUGCUUUCCCGAACAAAGCAAACCCAGAAGGUUGCUUUAUAUCAGAAUUUUCUUUGUUUUUACGAUGGCUUUCAGAUAAGAUGAUUUAUUCAUAGGUGACAUAAGUGCAGGAGGAAGGGAUCCCCCUUUUUAUGAAGCCUUCACACAUAUAUAAACACUAAGCAUCCAACAUUAAAAUAGGAGUGAACUCUGGGAAAACAUUACGUCUACUCAACGACUAAUGACAUUAGUACUCAGGAACCACGGGGAAGUCAAGGUCCUAUUAAGCCCAUAUGAACAAACUAAAUGUGAUCUUGAUUCGUACUCCUGUCAUCAGCCAGCUGUUAUGCAACUAAUAGAGCAGCGUUUCCAUCAGAGCGUUAAAACAAUCCAGCAGAAAUGCUGCAUAAUUUUCAAUUCAUUCAUCAACAUAUUUCGUUGUAUUAGUUGUGUAUUUUUCGGUUUUGGCUGUCUUGUCUAACAUAGUUUACUUGUUUUAUUAAGCAGAAUCUGAGAUUAUAUUAUUAAUUAUUGUUUUUUGUUGAUUACACAAUUUUGGUAGAUGUUAAGGGCUAAAAUCAAAUUUUAAAUACAAAUUAGAGUAAUUGCACAGCACUGAUGGACAACAACAUUUUUGGGGGUUCGUCCGGGAUUGUGAAUUGUAACCCAACCACCUCCAAGAACCAUAUUUCUAUUUAAUGUGCCAAAUUUGACACAAAAGGCAAGUGUUUCUACUUUGGAUUUCACAGCUCUCCACAAAAACACAAAUGAACUAAUUAAUACAUCAUGAAGUUUAGAAAAAUAAACCCUUAAAGAAAUGUGACAAUAAAAUGAUUUAUCACCCCUUCUAGGAAAAACUUUAUAAAUAAAUCAGAGGGGAAACCAGAUGGAGUAUUUAGUGAGCUCGGACCAUGGGCUCUAACUUGAAGUGACAGACUCCUGUGAUCUUUUGGCCAAAUCAGCGACCAACUCCAUCAUCUUACAUAAGAGUCCACUAUGAUCCAUAUCUGUGUUACAUCACAGAUAAGUAGCAGGAAUGAAAACAUCUUCAUCCUUCUAGUGCAUGACCCUUUUGUUACAUACAACUUAAUAGGAAUCACACUGGGGUUUCUCUCCAACCUGAGGUUUAUUUGCAACGUUGGAGCACUAACGACUAACAUCCCAACACCUGUACGCACACACGAGAUCACACUCCUAAUCCAAUGUGACUCAAUCUGCAGGUAUUUGUCCUUUAGCUACAGUGUAAAUCACUGCCAGGUUGGCUGAUCGGCGACCUGUGACGACCGCUCCUCUCCUUAGCAGCUUUUGUGCAUUUAGAAUUGUGCCUUGAGGUGAUUUAGAGAUUGGGAGAAUUACAACACACUUCCACCUCAUAAUCCUACAUCUGGAUUGGGUUUUCCUGUUAGAUUAGACCAAUGGCGUAAUAAAUCAAAGGAACGGGGUAAGACCAAAGGCGAAUCAACACGACGCUGGUCCGAUAAAGAGAUGAGGCCUUUUUGGUGCGCAUCUCUUUGAGUUUUCUACAAUGUUGAUGACUAAUCUUGAUUUUAUCCUUUUUGUAGUCAUUUGUUUUUAUUAUAUUGCUCCCUUGUGACAUCUUUCCUGUCAUGUUCGUACUAAACAGCCCUCUGGUUUGCACAAUCAGUAAAACACACAUAAACAUCAAAAUGACCGUAAAACAUUAAGUCUUAAACUUUAUUUUGCCCUCUUGAAAACAGGAAAUAUCUUGCUUUAAUCAUCCAGAACACAGAGGAAAGAAAACAAUUAUAAAUCUGCCUCCUUCCCAGCAGCCUGCCAUCAAGUUUUGAAUGACAGACCGCAGCCUCGUCAGGCCCACGUCACCGCCUUUCCCUCGACGUCCUCCAAUGUCUCAUUAUUAAUUGUUUACAUGCGUGUGAGAUUAUGACUAAGUGUGUGACAAAUCGGACAUGAAGGCAGCGGUUGACCUCUGGUCGCGUGAACCCGGCUGCCGCCUUGUUUACACGUCUCACAGCCAGGAGCUCAUUGUUCUCCUCGUCUAAAUUUUCAACAUGUGGUUGUGUUCAUGUGUCGGCGUUUCUGAGUGUUCAGCUGUUCUACCCGUGUUCUGGUACACGGGAUGUGCGAUUCGCAUGCGUUGUGCUCAGUUCUUGCUCAACAGCACAUUCCGUAUGUUUCCCUCUCUACGUCUGCCUGGUUUCAUGUUUCCUUUUACUAAAGUUACAGUUCUCCACUUACCGUUUUCAUCCUUUUGCAUAGAAUGUUCCUGAACCUCUCCCUGCUCGUGUCAUUUUGUGUGUGAUGAUCAUGUUCUCACUACCAUAGCCACCUCCUCGGCUCUCUGGCUUGCAAACAUCCACAUCAA